rnacentral:rRNA from 1 species
GUCUUUUUGAUAAAUAAUUUAAAGUCUAAUCUGCCCCCUGAAAUUAUUUUAAAGGGCUGCGGUAUUUUAACCGUACAAAGGUAGCAUAAUAAUUAGGUUUUUAAUUGAAAUCUAGAAUGAAUGAUUGGACGAGAUACUAGCUGUUUUAAAAUAAUUAAUUAAAAUUUAAUUUUUUAGUCAAAAAGCUAAAAUUAAAUUAAAAGACGAGAAGACCCUAUAAAUCUUUAUAAUAAAUUUAUUUCAAUAAGUUAUUUUAUUUAAAAUUACUUAUAUUUAAUAAUAAUUUAUUUUAUUGGGGUGAUAUAAAAAUUUAAAUAACUUUUUUAAUUUAAUUUCUUUAAUUAAAGAUUUUAAAAAUUAUGAUCUAUUAAUAGUAAUUCAAAGAAUAAGAUACUUUAGGGAUAACAGCGUAAUUUUAAUUUUAAGUUCUCAUUAAAAUUAAAGAUUGC